AGAGUUUGAUCCUGGCUCAGACCGAACGUUGGCGGCGUGCUUAACACAUGCAAGUCGAACGCGAACCCCUGGCAACAGGGUAGUAGAGUGGCGAAUGGGUGAGUAAUACAUGGGUAACCUACCUAGUUGAAGUGGAUAGCAACGGGAAACUGUUGGUAAUACAUUAUAAGUCUUGGGGAAUGGAAAAACUCAAGAGAAAGUGUCAUGCUUCGGUAUGAUUGCGCGACUAGAUGGGCCUGUGUCGCAUUAGCUAGUUGGUAGGGUAAAGGCUUACCAAGGCAAAGAUGCGUAGCUGGUCUGAGAGGAUGAACAGCCACACUGGAACUGAGAUACGGUCCAGACUCCUACGGGAGGCAGCAGUGGGGAAUAUUGCGCAAUGGGGGAAACCCUGACGCAGCAACGCCGCGUGAGUGAAGAAGGUUUUCGAAUUGUAAAGCUCUGUCGAGUGGGACGAGUAAGGACGGUACCACUAAAGGAAGCACCGGCUAACUCCGUGCCAGCAGCCGCGGUAAUACGGAGGGUGCAAACGUUGUUCGGAAUUACUGGGCGUAAAGGGCGUGUAGGCGGAUUAUUAAGUUUAUCGUGAAAGCUUAUGGCUCAACCAUAAAAGGUCGAUAGAUACUGGUAGUCUAGAGUAUCUGAGAGGGUCGCGGAAUUCCGCAAGUAGCAGUGGAAUGCGCAGAUAUGCGGAGGAACACCAGAAGCGAAGGCGGCGACCUGGCAGAUUACUGACGCUAAGGCGCGAAAGCGUGGGUAGCAAACAGGAUUAGAUACCCUGGUAGUCCACGCCGUAAACGAUGGAUACUAGACGUUGGAGGAGAUAAUUCUUUCAGUGUCGUAGCUUACGCGUUAAGUAUCCCGCCUGGGGAAUACGGUCGCAAGAUUAAAACUCAGAGGAAUUGACGGGGGCCCGCACAAGCGGUGGAGCAUGUGGUUUAAUUCGAAGCAACGCGAAGAACCUUACCUGGAUUUGUAUCCGGACUGAUUAACCUAGAGAUAGGAUAAGCCCUUCGGGGGGUCCGUGACAGGUGCUGCAUGGCUGUCGUCAGCUCGUGUCGUGAGAUGUUGGGUUAAGUCCCGCAACGAGCGCAACCCUUGUCUUUAGUUGCCAAUAUCUAGUUAGGCACUCUAGAGAGACUGCCGGUGAUAAACCGGAGGAAGGCGGGGAUGACGUCAAGUCCUCAUGGCCUUUAUAUCCAGGGCUACACACGUGCUACAAUGGUAGAGACAAAGCGUAGCGGAGCAGCGAUGCGGAGCCAAUCGCAAAAACACUAUCUCAGUACGGAUUGGAGUCUGCAAUCCGACUCCAUGAAGCUGGAAUCGCUAGUAAUCGUGGAUCAGCGUGCCACGGUGAAUACGUUCCCGGGCCUUGUACACACCGCCCGUCACACCAUGAGAGUUGUGCUAACCAGAAGUCGUUAAGCUAACCCGCAAGGGAGGCAGACGCCCAAGGUUGGUAUGGCGAUUA
rnacentral:rRNA from 1 species